UUAAAUUGAAGAGUUUGAUCAUGGCUCAGAUUGAACGCUGGCGGCAGGCCUAACACAUGCAAGUCGAACGGUAACAGGAAGCAGCUUGCUGUUUCGCUGACGAGUGGCGGACGGGUGAGUAAUGUCUGGGAAACUGCCUGAUGGA
rnacentral:rRNA from 1 species